CUAUGUGUAAAUAUCUUCAAUGGCAGAAUCGGUAACAGGGUUUAGAUUAGAAAGUAGAGACGAAAAGUGUAUACGAGGUUGGGUUUUGUCAGAGGAAAUCCUUCAGCAAUUCAUUGAACAGUUGAAGUACUUUCAAUCAGCACGGGAUGUCAAUAUGUGUCGUGGUCAAUAUAUACCAGAUACCACACUUGUACAGUUCUGGAGAAUAACAUACUAAUGAGAAGCUGUUGAGAGAAUAUCCAGUUUUAGGCAUGCACAUCUUAAAUCAAUGUCUUAAUGAAGAAGGCCAUAUAUUCCUUUGUCUGUGUUUGGGAACUGGAAUGCCAAUUAAUAGAAGAGGCAGAGAAAAGAUCAGUCAACAAACAGAAAUGUCUAUGAAGAAGGCCAAAAGAAAACAAAACAAUUGAAAUGCAUACAUGUAUUGCAUGCUGGUAUUACUGUAUAAGUACUAAUUAUCUGCAAUCUUAAUGUCACAUUUAAUGCAUUGCUGAUGCAUGUAGUUACAAUAAACAUAACUGGUGUUAUAUUUGAAAUUUAAGAAUUUGUUUAAUUGUUACCAUAUGUGCAAGUUAAAGUGAAUUCUAUUUAACUAUAAAUUUUAAAGAAUUUAAAUGACAAUUAAUCGGUAAUCAUUUCUUAUAUAUUUUUGGGUCACCUGAGUUACUCAGGUGACCUAUUGCUAUCUCUUUUCGUCCGUCGCUGUGCGGCGUGUC